AGAGGAAUAGCUGGGUCAAAUGGUGGUUCCAUUCCCAGCUUUACAAGGAAUCUCCAUACUGCUUUCCAAAUUGGCUGCACCAAUUUGCAGAUCCACCAUCAAU
rnacentral:pre_miRNA from 1 species